AGCCAAAACAGGGGCCUCCCAGACAC
rnacentral:piRNA from 1 species